AUUGAACGCUGGCGGCAGGCCUAACACAUGCAAGUCGAGCGGAUGAAGGGAGCUUGCUCCUGGAUUCAGCGGCGGACGGGUGAGUAAUGCCUAGGAAUCUGCCUGGUAGUGGGGGAUAACGUCCGGAAACGGGCGCUAAUACCGCAUACGUCCUGAGGGAGAAAGUGGGGGAUCUUCGGACCUCACGCUAUCAGAUGAGCCUAGGUCGGAUUAGCUAGUUGGUGGGGUAAAGGCCUACCAAGGCGACGAUCCGUAACUGGUCUGAGAGGUUGAUCAGUCACACUGGAACUGGGACACGGUCCAGACUCCUACGGGAGGCAGCAGUGGGGAAUAUUGGACAAUGGGCGAAAGCCUGAUCCAGCCAUGCCGCGUGUGUGAAGAAGGUCUUCGGAUUGUAAAGCACUUUAAGUUGGGAGGAAGGGCAGUAAGUUAAUACCUUGCUGUUUUGACGUUACCAACAGAAUAAGCACCGGCUAACUUCGUG
rnacentral:rRNA from 1 species